CAGCCGCCGCGGUAAUACGUAGGUGGCAAGCGUUGUCCGGAAUUAUUGGGCGUAAAGGGCUCGCAGGCGGUUUCUUAAGUCUGGUGUGAAAGCCCCCGGCUCAACCGGGGAGGGUCAUUGGAAACUGGGAAACUUGAGUGCAGAAGAGGAGAGUGGAAUUCCACGUGUAGCGGUGAAAUGCGUAGAGAUGUGGAGGAACACCAGUGGCGAAGGCGACUCUCUGGUCUGUAACUGACGCUGAGGAGCGAAAGCGUGGGGAGCGAACAGGAUUAGAUACCCCCGUAGUCCCUGUCUCUUAUAC
rnacentral:rRNA from 1 species